CAAGGGCUAUUAAUAAUCAAAAAGUAGAUCCAAUGGCUUAAAACCUAAUAGCACCAUAAUGGUGAUACUUGUAAAAGUAUCAUAGCUCAACUAUAUAUAUAUAUAUAUGUAAAAGUUGGAGCUUAAGCAAAACAUAUCCUGACUCUUGAAAAGAUAUGGAAGUCACUUCAGUAUUAACUUGACCUCGAGAAAUUCAACUUUCACAUGCAUGAGAUUCACAACCAUGAAAUGGUAGGAUACGUACACGUUCUGGCUACCCAAACUCAGCUCUCCUAUGGUUCCGUACGAAACUUCUUUCUCACUAGUCCUUGUAUAUAUUUAUAUAUAUAGUUUACUAUAUUAUUACUAUUAUUAAAUUUUUGACCCUUUAAUAAUAAAAUAUUCGGUUAGAUUGAUAUCGUUUUUUUACGAUUGAGUAGGCGGUUGAUUGAAUGAUAUUAUUUUAUAGAUAAAAAUUAUUAAAAAAUAAAUUUAAUAGUUNCCGACAUUAGGCAUUUUGUGGUUCUCUAAUUUUUUUAUCUUUCUGUUUUUCUUUUUUAAUUUUUUUUAGGCAGUUUCUUUUCUCUUUAUUCUUCUCUCCCUCCGCCUUUUUUAUUUUUUAGUAUUUUCUUUCCCUUUGGUUUUUCUUUCUCUUUUCCUUUAACAUUUUAUAAGCGUUUUCUCUUCUCUAUCUUUUCCUUUUUCUUUUUUUUUUUGUUUUCCUAGAAACAUCAGUGUUUGCUCUCUUUUGGGGUUAUAAAACCCUGCCCGCAUAUGACAAUCAUGCUCAUUGCUGCAGUUCCGCACUUCAUUCCAGUGUACGGAACAGGUGAUAAUCCCCCUCUCUCUCUCUCUCUCUCUCUCUCUUAAGUUAAGUGCUUAUCUAUCUUAUUGUCAUUACAUAGCAAGUAAAAUUGAAAUUUCAAAUACUUUGUAAGCAGAAUUCUCUGUUGAAUAAGAAAUAGUAAUAACACCAAAGGCCUAUUUAUUUCAUCCAAACUGAAUUUUGGGUUGAAGUAGAUUUUGGUAAAAACUAUUUUUUUCUCGCUGUUUAUUUUUAUAACUAUGAAAGUGAAGUUUUUUCAGUUUUACUAUCAGUUUAGCAGAAAAUAAAUAAUAUAAAAAUAUAAUUAAUAUAUCAAUAAUAAAUAACUUAAAUUAUCAAUAAAAUAAUACAGUAAAAAAAUAUAAAUAAUUAACUAAUUAUUUUUCAUCAUAUUUUAAAUAUACAAACUAAAUUAAAAAAAUAAAACUUAACUAAUCAAUUUUUAUCAUAUUUUAAGUAUGCAAAUUAAAUAAAAAAUUAAUUAGUGUCAUAGUUAAAUAUAUUUAAAUAAAACUACAAUUACUUAUUGUAUUAUUUUAUUAUUUUUUUUCUUCAUCUUUAUUCGCUGUAAUUGACUUCGGCUCGGGUGUGCCGAAGUUAAUUAUGCCAUUUCGAAAUAUAACUCGAGUUUCGACUGUCUUCUUAUUACGGCAAACCAAUCAGCAAAAAAUAAUCGUUUACGGCCGAAAACGGUUUCACAAUCUCUACUUUCACCCAAACAAAUAAGCCCAAAUUGAAGUGUAUAUAUACAGCCAUCUAAGCUUCAGUGGUUUGAUGGUAAGCAAAUUAACUAAUAAUAGAGUGAAUCGAAGCACUAACAAUAUACACAUCUUCUAAUUAAUAUUUUUUUGGGUGAAACAACACCGUUAGGUUAUUGUAAAUGUUUUCUUUUUUUCUUUUUUUCUUUUUUUUUUUUGCCGAUUCUGUGAGGGGCAUCAGAUGGGGGACCCCACCAUCCAUAUAAGAAAAUGAAGACAAUGUGUGGACUAAUAAGAGCUUCUAUUCUAUAAUUCUUCUUUUUUAUUUGUAAACUUAACAUUUCUCAUGUAAUAAUAAAUUUGUCCUUUAUUUACUUUCUCGCCUGACAAAUUUAUAUGUGCUUGUGCUUUAUUAUUACCCGCUCUUUUUGGUUUGUUUUUUUUUAAAAAAAUUUGCGUUACGAUAUUAAAAUUUCAACUCCAGAUUUUAGUCAACUUAAGCGAAAAACACAUAAUUCGCGUCACUGAUAUAUAUGUAUAUAUAUAUCUAUAUAUACAGAGGGAUAUGUAUAUAUAUAUAUAUGUAUAUAUAUAUAUAUAUCUAUAUAUAUAUAUAUAUAUAUAUAUAUAAUUCGGUUCACUGCUAAGUGAAGGUGCAAGGUAUAUAGAUAGAGAGAGAGAAAUAAGGAUGGGGUUCGAGCCGCCAGUUCCGCAGCAGGACACGAACUGGGAGAUCCGGGCGGCCGUGCAGGGCAGUCUGGCCCUCCAAGUGCUCCUCAUCUUCGUCACGCCGCUCCGCCGCACCUCCCCCUCCCGCCGCACCCGCUUCUUCGUCUGGUCCGGCUACCUCCUCGCCGACUGGGUCGCCGACCUCGCCCUCGGCAUCCUCCUCAACGCCUUGGGCAACAUCGGCCCCUCCUCGACCGCCACCGUCACGAUCUCCCACGCCUCCCCCAAGCCCGAUGUCGGCGGCAGCAGCGGCGGCAGCAGCAGCAGCAGCCCCGUCAUCUUCGCCUUCUGGGCGCCGUUCCUCCUCCUCCACCUCGGCGGCCCCGACACCAUCACCGCCUUCUCCGUCGAGGACAACGAGCUCUGGCGCCGCCACCUCAUCGGCCUCCUCUUCGAGCUCUUCGCCGCCUCCACCGUCUUCUUCUGCUCCCUCCGGCAAAACCCCUUCAUCCUUGCCUCCGCCUUCAUGUUCGUCGUCGGAUCCAUCAAGUACGCCGAGCGCACCUACUCCCUCUACCGCGGGAGCGCCGACGGCCUGCGCAAAUCCAUGCUCGGCGACCCCGACCCGGGCCCCAACUACGCCAAGAUGAUGGAGGAGUACGACGCCAAAAUAAAGGCCGGCUUGCCUGCCGAGAUCGACGUCAAGGAGGCGCCCGUCUCCGCCGAACCUAAGAUCGGCCAAAAGCUCAACAAAGACAAUCCCAUCGAAUCCAACGCUUUCCAACUCUACCAAACGUUCCAGUACCUCUUCGCCGACCUCAUACUCAGCUUCAACGAGCGCGAAGUUAGCCGAAAGUUCUUCUUCCAGCUAGACACAGCCAAAGAAGCCUUUCAGGUGAUCGAGGUCGAGCUCGGCUUCGUCUACGACAUCGUCUACACGAAGGCCACCGUCGUGCACAGGCGGCUCGGGUACGCGCUCCGGCCGAUCGGAUCGGCGUGCAUCGUGGCCGCCUUCCUGGCAUUCUUCUUCGCCGACAAGCGCGGAUUCACGCGCGUCGACGUCGCCAUCACCUACGCGCUGCUGGCCGGCGCGGCCGUGCUCGACUUUGCGGCGCUCGUGAUGCUUCUCUGCUCGGACUGGGCCCGCGUGUUCUUCGCCGACAAGCGGCUCCUCAUUAAGUGCUGCGCAUGCAUCAAGAACUCGAGGUUCUGGCGGCGGCGGCGGUGGUCGGAGAAGGUUUCGCAGAUGAGCCUCAUCGGCUACUGCCUCGACGAGCCGGCCGGGGCCGGGGUGCCGAAGUGGGUCGCGAGUGGGCCCGUGAGCCGGCUCGCCGACAAGGUGGGGGUCAAGGAAGUCUUAGAGGAGACGCUCUACGUGAGGCGCGAGGGGGUGACGGCGGAGGCGAAGGAGUUCAUAUUCAACAAGCUGAAAGACGCGGCGAGAGAGGCUGACGGGUACGAGGAGAUAAAGGAGGUGUGCGAGCGAAGGGGCGCCGGGGCGCUCAAGAAGCUGCUCCUCUCGGACGACCCUGAGGUCAGGGAGAACGGCCCGGAGCUCAUGAAGUGCGUGGAGGUUGACUUUGACCAGAGUCUCCUCCUGUGGCACAUCGCCACCGAGCUAUGCCACUACCACGAUAACAGUACCACUCGAGUAUGAAUAACUAACUUCGCUUUGUUUUCUCUAAUAUUUAUUCUAUCUGAGCUAUUAAUAAUUUUUAGCCCGCUUUUCAAUUUUUAAAAAUGUUAUUAUAAUAUAAAUAUUUACAAAAUUUUAAAAUUUUAAUUUUACUAUCUAAUAUUUUACUUUGCUUGAUUUAAGUCGGUCAACGACAUUUUGACAUCAAAAUUUAAAUACGUUAUUUAUUUUUUUAAAUUAAUUAGUGUAAAUUUUGAAAUCAAAAGAUCAAACAAAAUAAAAAAAAAAAGUUGAAUAGUAAAAUUAAUAUUUUAAAGUUUGGUAGCCUACUCAAAAUGAUCUAUAAUUUAUAUACAUUUUUACCAACUUUUAAUUUAAAUAUAUAAUUUUUAAUUUCUUUAGUUUGCGUAAGUCCACGGUAUCUUAAUUUUAAAAUUUAAACUAAUUAUUCACUUUCAUGAAUCUAUAAUUGCAAAAAUUAUGUGAAGUAUACUAAUUAGAUACGGUAAUGUAUACGGCGCAUCUAAAUUUUAAAAUUAAAGCAAUGUGGACAGAUUCAAACUAAAUAUAUGAAAAGAUUAAAUAAUAAAAUUAAAAUUUUGAAACAUCAGAAAUUCUUGCAAGGAUAAGUUCUGCUCGUUGUUAAAAGUUAGAUCCAGUAAUUAACUAAUUAAUAGCCAUAACAAGAUUAGAUAAUAUUUUCUUAUCAGGCUGAGGAGACGGAGAAGCAGCGGAGGAUCAGCGUGACGCUGUCGGAGUACCUGGUGUACCUGCUGGUGAAGCAGCCGGCAAUGCUGUCGACGGCGGCGGGUAUCGGGCUGCUGCGCUUCCGUGACACGUGUGCGGAGGCCCGCCGGUUCUUUGCCAUGGGAGGGCGGCAGCUGACCCCGGAGGAGGAGCGCGAGCGCCUGCUGUACCUGCUGGUGAAUCAGCCGGCAAUGCUGUCGACGGCGGCGGGUAUCGGGCUGCUGCGCUUCCGUGACACGUGUGCGGAGGCCCGCCGGUUCUUCGCCACGGGCAGGUGGCAGCAGCUGACGGGGGAACAGGCGCGCAAGCGGCUUGCCAGUGUGAACACCGAUAAGCCGCCUGCCGAUGUGAAGGGAGACCGCAGCAAGUCGGUGCUGUUCGACGCGUGCAUUCUGUCUAAGCGGCUGGCGGCGAUGAAUGAGAGGAAGUGGGAGGUGAUGUCGGCGGUGUGGGUGGAGAUGCUGGCGUACACGGCGUGCCACUGCCAGGCGAGGGCGCACGCGCUGCAGCUGAGCCGCGGAGGGGAGCUCGCCACCGUCGUCUGGCUCCUCAUGGCGCACGUCGGCCUGGGGAAGCUCUACCAGAUCCAGGCCGGCGAUGCACGCGCCACACUCAUCGUCGACAAGUAACUGCAUGCGUUAAUUUGCUAGACCCCAACUCCUGCUAUAGAGUGUCACUUUGAAUCUUUAGUCUUCAAAAAUAGGCUUAUUAUAAAAGAGAAAUGCUUGGUCCACCGCAAAAUCUGUAUCCUAUAAUAUUAUUGUUGUGUUCGAAUGCAUAUCACCAUAUAUAUAUAUAUGUGGAUGGUUUAGAGCAUACGGUUUAGAAAAAUGCAUGGUACUUAGGUAUCGUUUGGUUCGGGAAUAAGCAAAAAUUGGCUAUUUCAGAAAUAGAUAUAAAUUGAGAUGUAAACGGGGAUUAGAUCAAUUUUGUGUUUGGAUGAGAUGAAAAUUAGGUUAUUCUUGGGAAUAAAAAAAAUAGCGUUUGGUUAGAUAAGAUGGAAUAAAAAGGAUAGUGAAUUUUUAUAAAUAAAAAAUAAUGAUAUUACCUAUUUAUUAUAUUUGAAUUUGAAUUCUUAAAUAUUUAAAUGUAUAUUUUUAAAUUUAAAAUUUUAACUUUGAAAUUUUAAAAUUUGAAAUUAAAUUUUUAAUUUUAAAUCUCAAAUUUUAAAUUCAAGAAUUUAAAUUUUAAAUUUCAAACUUUAAAUUUAAGAUCAAAUUUAAACUGGAAAAAUAUAAAAUAUCAACUUUUAAAUUUUUAAAAUUUAAAAUAUCAAAAUUUAUAUUNAUAAAUUUAUAAAUUUUUUUAAAAUUCUGCUUAAACUUAAAUUUAAUAAAAAAAUUUAUUGUAAUAUUUAAAUAAAAUUUAUUAUAAAAUUUAUUAUAAUAUUUAAAUAUAAAUAAUAUUUAUUACUAUAGUACAAUUAAUAAUUUUAUAAUAAAAAUAAUGUCCCCGCUUACCCCCCCCUGCAGAGUUUAGUAAUGAUGUUUGGAGUUUAGUAAUUCAUGUUUAGAGUAUUAUAAUAACAUUAUCAAACGAGGUCUAAAUAUACAAUCAUUUGAUCUGAAUCAAACCCACAAAUAAGAUCCAGAAAGGAUUUUGAUCAGCUUCGCAAGAAAGAAAAUUUAGAGUGAAAUUCUACUGCAGGUUUAGGCACAAUGAAUUUUUGUUUGUCUGUUUUUUGAGAAAAUUUGAGUAGGCUUUUAUUAACAUGUAGAGCCUGAUUACAAAUUAAACAUUUUGGGAAUCAAUUAACUAAGAUCCUCUUUCGAUGUGUGAAUUUCAGUAUAUUCCCUUGACUUACUCAAGAAUUUUCUGUAUUUGAUUAAUAAAGAGUGAGAUCAAAUUAAUGUUUAUAAUGAAAUAUCAUAUUGGGAUUUUAAGCCUUGUUUUUUCGAAAAAGAUAAAUAAUUUUGUAGAUGGAACAUACUAUUCUAUUAAAGAUAGAAAGAUCUGUGAAGAAGCAAAAAUCAAACUUUUUACUUACAAGCAUGUUAAAAAAUUCUCAUACAGAAUCUUAAAUAAUUUAUUUUGACAUCCAAAUGGUAAAAGUUGAACUCCAUCUGUAAAACAACCGUUGUACUCUAAAAGUUUAAGCUGCUAGAGAAUGGUGCUACAGAAUCUUAAAUAAUUAUGUUAGAAGCCUGACAUGACUCGAAUUCAGAAUAUUUUAAUUUGCUCAGAUAUCAUGUAAAAUAAUUAUUGUACUCUAAAAAAGCCUAAACUGUUAGAUAACGGUAUUUAUAUAUUUUUAUAUUUAACAAUAAUAAAUCUCUUAACUAAGGGCCCCUAAUCUAACUUAACCCAAAAAAAAGAAAAAACGAGAUGUAAAGAGCAGUCUCGAAAUCGGCAUUACGACAAGAAAGACUAAGAAGAGCUUUCUUUUGGAGAGGACAAUCCAACAUUAGCAGGGGAUCUUGCUUGGUGCAAUAGAAGUGCGUUUGUAAGAGCAGGAAACGGAUGGGAAUAGGGGUGAAACCAGAUCGGAUAUGUUCGAAUAUUUGACGAAACCAUAUUCACAUUCAUAUAUAUUUUUUUCCGGAUACGGAUUCUGAUUCGGAUACGAAUAUACGUGGAAUACUAAAUUUUUAUUACCAUAUCCACUAAAAAUGAAUUCGGAUGUGGAUGGAUAUUUCUUUCGAAUUGGAAUAUGGAUCAUAUGUGUAUUCAAAUAAUAAUAUAUAUUAAUAUGCACAUACACAAAAAGUUACUUUAUUUUCCUACAUUGUUUACUAACUAUAUUUCUUCACAUAUAAAAUAUAUAAUUUUAAUAUAUAAUUUAUUAUAAAAUAAUCUAAUAAUACAAAAAAUUAUUUUAUUAUUUAACAGUAUGUAUUAAUCAUCCCUCCGUACCUUUAUCGGCUAUAAAUUAGAGGAGUGGACAAGAAAGAUUGAGUCCGGAGGAAAGGGAUUUGGGCAGGAUAGUCAGGCGAAACUAGGCUGGACGGAUUCAAAAAUAUAAGAAUAUAAAAAUAAUAAUACUAAAUUCCAGAUAUCCACAUCCAUAUCUGUUUUUUUUUCGGAUAUCCGAAUAAAUUUAAUUCUCUAAAACCAUAUCCAUAUCCGUAUCCGUAUCCAACCCGGAUUCGGAUAUUCUCUAUCCGGAUCGAUCCGAAUAUUACCGAAUACGGAUAUUUUCUGAUAAUAUUCCAUCCGUUUUCAACCCUAGAUGGGGAUUAAAGAUAUGGAACUAGCGAAUACGGCAUUACUAACUCAACAAUAAACUCAUGAGAGCACUUUUACUGCAUUGGGAGAAAACCACUAAAAGAAGGAAGCUCAUUUAGACCCGAUUUUUCCUGACAUCUGCGACAAAGUUGUACGCAAGGAUGUAUAGGUGAAGGUCGGGCAUUCUAGGAGUUGGAGGAGUUUAUGGGGCUUCUUGUUGAUUGCUGCUUGACUGAUAGAAGAGAUGUAGUUAAGUGGAGGUGAUCUUCCAAUCAACGCUUCAGCAUAAAAUCUCUUUAUAACUUCAUCACCGACGGAGGCCAGGACUGCAGAUGUUAAUACUCUACUGGUUUGAAAACUAAAACUACUAGGAGUACUAGUGAUGGUGAAGAUUUUCGUAUGGUUAGUCUUGAGAAGAAGUGUUUCUCAUGAUAGACAACCUGCUAAAAAAAGGAUAGAGUACUGGAAAUCAAGGUUGUGUGUUGUGCAUUAAUGAAGAUGAGUCAGUAGAUCACUUGUUCGUGGAUUGCUGCUCUUUUUUUCGGAUAGUAUUUGCGUAAUUGACAGCUAGCGAACCUGAAAUGGGCAUGAAACACAUAAAUGGCUGCAGAGCUACAGAUCGAGAUUGGCAAGUUGUGGGAGUGAUGGAACUCGAUCUAUAAGCUCGAUCUAUAGUGUGGGAUAUUUCAUGGAUUUUUUUUUGUUUUUGUUUUUUUUUUUUUCUUUUGUUUUUUUGUUUUUUUCCUUGAGGCUGUGUUGUCUCAAUUCAGUUGAUUAGUUCUUUUCUUCUCUUGAGGCCCUGCUGUCUCAAUUAUUGCCUAAGUUUAUUUAUCCCUUUAUUCUAUGAAUAAAGCAGCUAGAACAUUAUCUUUUUCUAAAAGAAAAAAAGCAACCUUCACACCUAAAUAGACAAUAACAAUACAAGUUCAAGUGCUCCCCCAUCUGACUAGAAAAUUAAAUAUAAAGUCAAAUUCUUCUUUUAAACAACGUCACAAGAAUAAUGUGUACAAUGUUAGGAAUCCGGUACUCGCUCUAGUACCAAAUUUUGCGAAUCCACAACCCGCUCCGAUAUAUAUCGACUGCUGUUGGUCCAGUACCGAUUGUCGGGAUUUCGUAACGGAAGCGUUAAAUCGAGUUUUUACCAUAAACUCGUCUCUUCAGUAAAAACUGAUAUAAUCACUAAAGAGAGAAAAACUACAAUAGAAAAUAUACGGGUAAAAUAAGAUUCAUUAAAUGAGAAAAGAAUACACCUGACUCAUCUUCUGUAACAAAAUAGUUACAAUCCCGAGCCCUCUUUUUGAAUCUUUCCUACCCUUCUCUCGUCUUCUAUAGUCUCAGAAAACAUCUCUCCCAUCUGUACACCCGUGCACAAGGUAUACCAAUAAGCCACGACUACGAAAGCCGCUCGCGUCCUCUUGCACCCAUGCAUAUAGUGCAUCCAAAAUUAUGACCACCUUAGUCAUGCCAUAUGGGUGUGGCUAAUCCGUACUACCACUGGCCACCAAUGGAUGUGGCUAAUCCGUACUACCACCACCACCACCACCGCAAUAAUAGCACAUAUACUAUAUUUAUAGUUUAUAUAAAAAGAUACGCAAAUCCUAAUCUAAUUAGAUUUCUAUUCUAAUUAAUAUUUAAAUUUUAAUUUAUCUCCAAUAGAUUUAAAUAUUAAUCAUAAUUCAAUUAGUAUUCAACUACAAAUCUAACCAAAUUCUAACAUUCUCCACCUUGAUUGGAUUUGUAGUUUUCAACCACUGCGUCAAGCUCACCAUGCAAGCUUUAUCUUGAGCUUGUCUCUUCCUCUCAAUGUCGCCACAUCCGCCGCUUUGCCUUGAGCGACUGCAUCUCCGCGAACUUUUGGAACCCAACUUGAAUUUGCUUUUGUUCUGAGUGUACUUCCGUUCAAAACGUAGAAGUUCUGGUCCCGCGCUUGUUCGCUUCACAUACAACCCAAUUUCGCUUUCGGACCCUCGAUCAUGGCUCCACCUGAAGCUGAAAUAUCGCAACCCUUUGAGUCCAACGCACCUAAUGAGAUCAAACUACGCUUCAAUCCAAGAACAUGUAGCACACUUGUCAGCAUUCUCACGACCCCAUCGUGCAUUCGGAUCUUCACCGUGCCAACUCCCAAAACUUUGCAUGCUGUCCCAUUCCUCAUUAGAGCCUUUCCACUCGUGAUUGCCUUAUAGGUGGCAAAAGACUCCUUCUCUGGGCAGACGUGAAAGGAAUACGCUGAAUCGAGCACCCACACAUCAUCCGAAAUUUUUGCACCUCCGGUCGCUGCAUACAGCACAUUAGAAUCGAUCAUCUCCAAUUCUGCUGUCUGUACCGUUGCUGAUACCGUCUCAUACUGGUUCACGAAAGUUUUUUCCUUUUGCCACUUUAACUCCUUCAGAUCAUUCAGAAGUUUUCGACAAUUGCGCUUAAUAUGCCCUUUCCUGUGACAGUAAAAGUACUACACCUAGGAUAGCGGUUUUUCCUGUCGAUCUUCGAUUGCCGAUGUUGUCGCCUCUUUCUUCGCUCUCACCACCAGAGCAGUAUCCUAGCUCUGCAUGCCAAACUCCUGAGUCAUCUUCUACAUCUUAUUCGAGAGAAGCGCCACCGUAACCGCCUCCAUGCUUAUGGUCUCCUUGCCACAAAGCAACGUAGUCACCAGAUACUUGUAUGUCGUCGAUAGCGAAGAUAGUAAAAUCAGUGUCUUAUUUUAGUCAUCCAGAUUGACUCCGAUACUGGUUAAUUGGACUAGCACCUUGUUGAACUCGUUAAGAUGCUCAUAUAGGCUUGUCGCUUCUUGCAUCCGCAAUGUAAACAGUCGCUGCUUUAGAUACAAUCUGUUCGUAAGGGAUUUGGUCAUGUACAAAUCUUUCAAUUUCUUCCACAACUUCGCCGACAUCGUCUCGCUGGCUACAUUGUAAAGAACCUCAUCUGCUAAUAAUAGAUGAAGCGUACUCAGCACCUUCCGCUCUAUCUUCGUCCAUGUCGCAUUUGUGACCUCCGCCAACUUCGCCUCCUUCAUGUUCAAUGUUUCAUCCAAAUCCUAUUGUAUGAGGAUCGCUCAUACUUUAAUCUGCCACAAUCCGAAAUUGUUCCUACCAUAGAACUAUUCGAUUUCGAAUUUUGUGGCCGUCUCCGUCGAUCUCUCUGAUAGAUCGGUAACCUUCGGCUUUGAUACCAAUUGUUGGGAAUCCCCCGGUAUCGAAUUUUGAGAAUCCGCAACCCGCUCCAAUGCCGACUACUGUUGAUCCAGUACAAAUUGUCGGGAUUUCGCAACGGAAACGUCAAAAAUCGAGUUUUUACCAUAAAUUCGUCUCCUCAACAAAAGCUGAUAUGAUUACAAAAGAGAAAAAAAACUAAAACAAAAAAUAUGCGGGUAAAAUAAGAUUCAUUAAAUAAAAGAAAAUUACACCCAACUCCUCUUCUAUAAUAAAGUAGUUACAAUUCCAAGUCCUCUUUUUGAAUCUCUCCUACUUUUCUUUCGUCUUCUAUAGUCUUAGAAGACAUCUCUCUCAUCAUUUGUAUCUGUGCAUAAGGUAUACCAAUGAUACACGGCUAACCCAUGCAUUAGAUGCAUCCAAAAUCAUGACCACCUUGGUCAUACCAUAUUGGUGUGGCUAAUCGGUACCACGAGCACCAAUGGGUGUGGCUAAUCCGUACCACCACGGACACAAUAAUAGCACAUAUGCUAUAUUUAUAGCUUAAAUCAAAAGCUAUGAAAAUUCUGACCCAAUGUAAGGACUGAGAUUUUUACAGUGCAACUAAACUCUCUGUUGACGAUGUUUGUGUGUGUAAUUUAAUUACAUAAGCACUCGUCAAGUUUCAGGAGAAAAUGAGCUAAACUGGAGAAGUUACGCGAUUUUUAAAUUUCACUGAAGUGAAUAGUAACUUUGGUUUUUCGGAGAGGCCAAUGCGUGUAGUAGGUUUUUGGCGCGUAUCGGACUCUGUUCAUAGCGAUCCAAUAGCUCGUUUCGAAUGGUUCAGCUAUUCUGGAACCAAUGGUACUGACGGAUUUCAGAUCCGAUGCACGAUUUUCGAGAAAAAGGAGUUUUACCAAAAAGAGGGUUUCUGCUCUUUGCUAUUCGUGCAUUUUAAAACUCCUCGUGCUCUGUGCUUGUGACCUGGGGUUAGGUGAGAGUUGUUUCUGGUACCUACUGGUGGUAGGGAAUUCAAAUUUGAAUUUGAAUUAAAGGUUUUAGGGUUUAUACUUUGGUAUAUGUGCGUUAUACGGAUUAAUUAGAGAGCGGAUGGGUUCCGUCGCGAAUCUGUGACGAAAUCUGACGAAACAAGAUUGUAGUUUUAGUACCCUCGUCAUGCUAAAUACGAUGGCACUGUCGGAUCGAAAAUCCGACGGACGGAUCUUCGGAAAAAGCGAGAUGUUCGCUGAGGGGUCAAAGUGGCAAAACGGAUAAAUCGCGAAGAGACCCUAUAUUUUAUGUGCCGAAUUGCGUGAGAUCGGACAUGGAGGUGCAUAUGUGUAAAAUACGCGCGCUGUGAGGGACUUGACUGAGAAUAUUACCCCUGGGAGGACUAUUUUGCAAAAUGCACAUAUGUGUAUAGUGGUUGCACUAGGGUUUCAUGAGGAAACCCUAACUGUUGGCCUCCCUCUUCCUCCAACUGCGCCCCAGCCGUCACCUGCACCCCUCCCCGACCCCGCCGCGCGCGUCCCGGCCGCCGGCGAGCAGCCCCGGUCGCCGGAAAAGCCACCCCGGCCACCUCUCCAUCUUUCUCUUUAAACCGAUCCACCACCCUCUCGGCCUGAGUACGCAGGGAAGUGCGCGAAGCCCCGAGGAUCCUUCACCUGUGGCAGAAGGCUACCUCCGGCGCCGAUUCCCGCCGGCCUCCGUCGUACACCGCGCCGCCCGCACCCUCCUCGCUCUGCGCGGCCAGCCAGACCCGACCGAGACCGAGCGCAGCCCUAGUUGUGGCCCGCGCGCCGCCGCCCACCCUCGGUCCCGCCGCCCUCGUCUGGCCUCCGGCGUGCCCCCGCGCGCCAUCGCCGCCGCUCCCGUCGCCGCCGGCCGCCGCUCUCCCUCUCUGCGGCCGCCCAGACCGAGUGCGGGCUGAGCCGAGGCUAGCUCUGCCUCUGCGCGCCGCCGCUGUUCCUCGCCGGCCGAUUUGCCCUUCCUCCACCUCCGGCGAGGUGCCGCCGACGCCCCGACCUUUCUCCGGCCGCCGCCAUGGCCACCGCCACCUUUGGAGCCCGCAAUGAACCCGCGCGGGCUCAGUUUGGUCCAGCACCGCCGCUGCCGUCUUCCGCCGCCGUCCGGUGUGAGCACCGGCUCCGCCUGGCCGGCCGCACUCGUCCGCCGCCGGCGCCCCCGCCGCCGGAGCUCCCUGUCAACCGUGGUGAGCCCAUGCUCUCCUCGGGUUGUACAACUAGGGCAUCAAUGCCCGCCGUCGUCGCCGCCUCCCGUCGCCUGUUGACGCGAGCCCCGGCCUCCUCUGACCUGGAGCACCUCCCCUGGCCGGCAUGCCCGUCGUCCGGCCGCCGCCGGCCACCCCGAGCCCUGCGUAGCUUUGUAAGCUUGAUUUCAGCCUUUCUGUGCAUAGUCUCCAGUUCUGUUCACUGUUCCGGCGACCCGAGGCUGUUCCGAUGCCUCCGGGGGUGAGCACGGUGAUAGUCUGUCAGUCCUGAUCACAGUGCUCACCUCAAUUAGGGUCAGCGAGCCCCUGGUUAGCGAGAUAAACAUGUUUUUCAUGCUGUGCGCGCUGUUCGCAGAUUUUCGCGUCACUCCCGCGCUCUCCGCUGUGGCCGAUAUUGCUCCGAAAGGUGAGCACGGCCUCCGGCACGUCGAAACCUGUCUGUGGGUAUUUUGACUCGGCUGAUUGACCUCUGGUUUGCGUAAACGGACCAUAAAAGCGCCGAAAUCGCAUGAAAUAAUGCGAUUUCGGGUAUUCGGAAGGGCUUUUAUGCAACUUUGUCCGUCGUGGCUGCUGUUGGCAGCAAGUAUGGGCUGAGGAUAACCUCCAGACUGAUUGUCCAAGGCCCCGGACCUUUGCGAAGACCGAAAAUGCAUCUCCGGAGCGUUUUUCGGCGAAAUCCACCGAUAGAACGCGUUUUCGAUUCGGAAUUCUUCCGACGGUACUUGGGGAUCAUUUGUUUCAUCGCUGAGCCUUGUUGGCUGGUCACCCGCAUCGUUUCGUGGGUUUGGAAACGACGGGUGAGCGACGGUGAAGUUCCGGUGCGGUUUUCGGGACUUCCGGUUUGUUCGGUAAUCGGUUUUGGCUCGACACCCUUGAUUUGGAUUUUAGUUUCAACCACUGCGUCAAAGCUCACCAUUGCAAGCUUUAUUUGAGCUUCGUCUCUUCUUCAAUGUCGCCACUCCGCCCUUUGCCUUGACGACUGCAAUCUCGUCCGAACUUUUGGAAACCUCAACUUUGAAUUUGCUUUUUCUGACGUGUUACUUGCUGUUCAAAUAUAAGUUUGGUUCCUUGCGCUUUCGCUUUCACAUACAACCAAUUUCGUUCUACCCUCGAUCAUUGCUCCACCAUGAGCUGAAAUAUGCAACCCUUUGAGUCCAACGCACAUAAUGAGAUCAAACUACGUCUUCAAUCCAAGAAGCACUGUAGCAACUUGUCAGCAUUCUCCCACGACCCCCUAUCAGUAGCAUUCGAUCCUUCACCGUGCAACAUACCCAAACUUUGGAUGCUGUCCCAUCCCAUAUACGAGCUUCCACUAUCUCGAUUGCCUAUAUGGUGCGAAAAACGUCCUUCUCUGGGACAGACUGAAAGGAAUUACGCUGAAUUCGGCACCUACACAUCCAUCCGAAGUUUUUGCACCUCCGUUCGCUGCACAUACAGCAUCAUUAGAAUCGAUAUCUCCAAUUCUGCUGUCUGUACCGUUGUGAUACCGCUCAUAGCUGCCGUUCCGAAAGUUUUUUACCUUUUGCACUUAAACUCCUUCAGAAUCAUCAGAAGUUUUCGAGCAAUCUGCCUUAAUAUGCCCUUAUCCUGUGACAUAAAGUAACUGCACACUAGGAUAACGGUUUUUCCUGCGAUGUUCGAUUGCGAUCGUUGUCGCCUCUUUCUCGCUCUCGACCACCAAUUGCAGUAUCCUACUCUGCAUGCCAACUCGCCUGAUCAUCUUAUACAUUCUUUAAUUAGAGCAGAAGCGCACGACCGUAGACCGCUCCCAGACUUAUGUCUCACUUGCCACAAACAACGUAGUCACCAAGAUACAUUUUUCAGUCGAAGCGAGGAAUAGUGAAAUCCAGUGUCGUUAUUUUAGCAUCCAGAUGACUUCCGAUAACUGGUUAAUUGGAUCUAGCACCUAUUGUUGAACUCGUUUAGGAUGUCAUAAUAGGCUUGUCCUUCUUGCAUACCGCAAUGUAAACAGUCGGUGGCUUUUUAGAUACGAAUCUGUGUCGUAAGGAUUUCGGUCAUGUACAAAUCGGUUCUAAUUUCUUCCACAAUUUGCCGGACAUCGUCUCGCUGGCUACAUUGUAAACCUCAUCUGCUAAUAAUAGAUAAGCGUAACUACAGCACCUUCCCCUCUAUUCUUCGCCCAGCUCGCAUUGACUCCGCGCAACUUCGCCUCCUUCAAUGUUCAAUGUUUCAUCAAAUACUAUUGUAUUGAGGAAUCGCUCAUACUUAAUUGGGCCACAAUCCUGAGAAUUGUUCCUACCAGUAGAACUAUUCGAUUUCGAAGUUUUGUGGCGUCUCCGUCGAUCUCCUCUGAUAGAUCGGUACCUUCGCUUUGAACAUUGUUGGGAACCCCUGCGUAUCGAAUUUGAGAAUCGCAACCCGCUCCAAUGCCGACUACUCGUAUCCAGUACAAAUGUGUCGGGAUUCGACAACGAAACGUCUAAAAUCAACAGUUAUUUACCAUAAAUUUCCGUCUCCCAUUCAACAAAGCUGAUGAUGAUUUACAAGAUUGAGAAAAAAAACUAAAACAAAAAAAUAAUGCGGUUUAAAUAUAUCGAUUCAUUAAAUAAAGAAAAUUACACCAACCUCCUCUUCUAUUAUUUAAAAAACAAAGUUAGUUACAAUUCCAGUCCUCUUUUUGAUCUCCUCUCUACUUUUCUUUCGUCUUCUAUUAGGUCUUGAAUCACAUCGUCUCUCAUCAUUUGUAUCUGUGCAUAAAGGUAUACCAAUGAUAACAACAGCUAACCCAUGCAUUAGAUCAUCCAAAUCAAUGACACACUGGCAUACCAUAUUGCGGUGGAAAAUAAUCGGACCAAGACACAAUGGGUGGGCUAAAUCGUACCACACGGACCCUUCAUAAUAGCAACAUAUGCUAUAUUUAUACUUAAACAAAAAGCUAUGAAAUUCUGAGCUCUAAUUAAUAUUUAAAUCUUAAUUUAUCUUUAAUAAAUUUAAAUAUUAAUCAUAAUUUAAUUAGAAUUCAACUAUAAAUCUUACCAAAUCCUAACAUACAAUACAGAUUGAAUAAGUCAAAUAGCUAUUAUAAAAUCGUGCAAUGAAAAACAAUUGAGGUAAUCCGCCAACCAAUAGGGACAAAAUAAUAAUGCAAGGGUAACAUAUGUGGUACAAACCGAUACCAGGUUAAAUAACUGUCAUAUAAUCACGCAACGAGAUAACAAAUGCUUUACAACGAAGAAUAAACCAAAAAUGCUACCAACCGUCCCUAGAGCAAGUGGCAAAGGGCUUGAUGCUUGGUACCCGAGAUUCCAAGUUUGAAUCCUAGUUGAUUCACAUUUCCAGCUAAGUUUAUUUCUAAAAUGAAAUAAAGCUUAACGAAACAGGUAACAUAUUACCUAUCUCUCCAAAAAAAAAAAAAAAAAAAAAAUGUUUUUAAUAAGGUUAGAUAAGGAACUCGUGCUUCCAAUGAUAUAUACAAUUUUUAUUUAUAAAAAAGUCAGUAAUAAUUGCAAAGAGGACUUUAGCUGGUCAAUGUGCUUUUUGCCUUUUUCGCUCCCGACUAUUAAUAGGGCUUCUUAGUUUAUUCCAUACUUAGAAAUCAAGCUCAACAAAAAUAAUUGCAUGUACUUGGUGUACAUAUAAUAUUAAUUAGUAAUGUUAGAUAGAUAGACGAGGAGACUGUUGCCUUUAAAGGAUAAGUAUUUUGUCACGUGAUAGAAGACCAGAUUGAAUAUAGUCAUGUUUGAAAUAGUGUCGGAUGUUAGGAUUUUCAUAUAUUGUGGCCCAAUUAAUCAUAUAUAAUUUAAAAUUUGCUAUAGAUAAAGGUCAAUCAUAACAAAUUUAGAACUACUUAAUAUGGUAAAUUUUAUCCCUAUCCCAUCUANUACCAAUUGGCUUUUUAAUAUUACUACUCAACUCAUGAAUCAAAACAAACUUAACAAUUAAUUCUAUAAAAAUAUCUUUAAAAAAUGUGAAAAAAAAAAAAAAAAAAUGUUAUUACUGAAGUAGAGCAAGUAAUGAUGAUAAGUCAAAGUGGUGCAAGAAGUAUACUCAGCUAUAUAUAUAUAAAAAAAAAAAAUAGAAUGAUGAGGAAAGAUAAUUAAGUAGAGACUACUAUACAGACUUUACAUCGAAGCACUUACAUCGGUAUAUGAACUCAAGGAGAGGUUGCAAUUUAUCUACUGACAGUUGGUGCUUAGCUUACGUGCCAACGCACCAAGCGUUGAGCUAUAUGUUGUGCCACAUCCGCCUUCAUUCUUGAUCAACAAACAUUUACUGAACAUCCUGGUACAUCUUGAUACCGCCGAGAUCCAUCGUAUGUGGAGGCUGAUGUGCCUUAACAAGAAUCUGUUACGUACCUUACGUUGAUUUAUCUAGCAUGCACAAAUGGUCCUUAAAUAGAGAGAACUGUCAAAGUAGGUCGUGAAAUCCCCCAUCUUUUCCUACUCAAAAUUAGCCCGCAGCUCCCAUAGGUGUGAGCCCGACUGCUUUUGAAGCCUAACUAAGCUUAAGGCGAGCUGUAUGUACUACCAAGGCCAUCAACUAAAUAGUUGAUCUCAAGGGCAUGACCUCCAACUCUAAGGGGCUGUUUGGUUGCAUGCAUUUAUUAAUUUUUUGUUGGUUUGGGCUCAACUGCUGCAGUUGCAUCUAUACGAGAAGGCCCAACUGCAGCAGUUGAGCUGGAGUCGGCUUAUCGAUUAAAAAAAUAAAUAAAAUGUGAUUUUUUUUUUCAUACGCUUUUUUUUCUUUUCUUUUUUUUUUUUUUCCAAAAAUACAUAUUUAUGAAAUCUGAUAGAAUUUAGUAAUGUCUGUUAGGAUCAAUAAAUUUUUUUUUACAUAUGCUUCUUAUUUUUCACUCUGCUAGUUUAAAAAUACCUUAAUUUUUAUUUUGACCAAAUUUAUAAUAUAUUUACAUUUAAAAUUUAUUAAAUUCAUAUAUAAUUUUAUAAUAUAUAAAUUAUAUAUAGAUAUAAAAGUCUUAAUUAAUAAUUAAAACAUAAAGAAGAGGUAAUCUCACCAUUCUAUCUAAAAAUUGAUAGAAUUUAUAAAUACAAAUCUCAACUGCAGACUACCAAACAGAAGAAAUGUAACUGCAACAGUUGUAAUUGUAUAAAACCAAACAGAUUAGAUAUAGUUAUGCCUGCAGCAUUUAUAACUGUAUGUACUUCCAACUACACUAUUUUUAUAACUACAUUCAACCAAACGGCCUCCAAAUGAACGAACUCUUGGUCUUGCUCGGUGCCCUUAAUCGAUAGCUCAACGCGGUGUGCUUCUGGUUCAAGACGCCGCAACCACCAGAUUUGCUUGUUUAGAGAGGUUAUUAUCCUUUAAUUGCUCAAACCCUACCAUACCCUUCAGUGCUUUCGUUUGGAGUCAAGAACGCUUGCCAUGGAGGCUAGAUUCAGCAAACACAGUCGAAAAUUGCUGAUGGCAUUGAGUAACAUCCGGCUCUAAGACCUAACCUUCCGUACGUCCUAGCCAAAAGGUAUGUAUUUUUGUAAGAAAAUUCGCAAAAUUUAAAAAAGGUUUUGAUUGAUAUCCCAAAUUUAGUCAUUAAUUUUGCACUAAUUUAGGCAUAAAUUUAAGGAAAGUUAGAAUUCCUCUAAUUUAGACAAUAAUUUAUACUAGUUAAAGGACCCGCGCGAUGCCGCGGAUAGUUAUUUUAAAAUUUAAUUUUAAAAAUUAGUUAUAAAAAUUAAUUUCAGAAUUUAAAUGGUGCAAUAAGUACACCCAAAAAUUUUAGUAGGCAUAGUAGUCUCUUAUUAGUUAGUGAAAUAAUUUUAGUAGGUAUCGUAGUACCCCAGUAGUUAGUAAAUGAGAAGAGAAAUCAUACUGCGGUUAGUUAUUUUAAAAUUUAAUUUUAAAAAUUAGUUAUAAAAAUUAAUUUCAGAAUAAUUAUGAAAUAUUACGGACAAAUUACGAAAUAAUUUUAAAUAAAUGCAGUUAUCUUUCCUAAUGUAAUAAGAAAUAAUUUUUAGUAGGCAUCGUAGUCCUCCAGUAGUUAGUGAAAUAAUUUUUAGUAGGUAUCGUAAUGUAAUAAGUAUAUCUAAUACCAAUAGUCUAAAUUAUUUAACAUUUAUUUGUAUAUUUUAUAUUUUAUAAAAAUAAAUAGUAAAUUAUAUAAUAAAUUAUUAUAUAAUAAUAUAUCUAUAUAAAAAUAAAAUACUAUAUAUAAUAAAUAAAUAUAUAUUUAUAAAUAAAAUUUUAUAUUUAAUAUAUAUAUAAAUACAUAUAUAAUACAAAAAUAUAUAUAUUUAUAAAUAAUUAAUAUAUAUAAUAAUAAAUAAAAUUAUAUAUAUAUAUAAGAGGACAAGAGAUGACGAGAGAGAGAGAGAGAAUGGGAGGUUCCACCGUUGGACCUCCCUUCAUUGGUCCGAGCGCCCACUUUGGCCGCGUGGACCCCGUGCAACCCCACACAGGCACACACAAUAGCGCGAUUUUUUUUUUCGCUCCGCGCAGACCCACUUAUUGCCGCCCGUGCCGUGGAGCGCCCCGCCCCUUUUCCCGCCCCCUCGCCGGCCGCCCGCCUCGCCUGGUACCAGCGUCGACCGAGCCCCCUUGCAGCCGGCGCCUGCGCCUGCGCCUGCACCGCGCCAGCGCAGCCUACCCCCCGCCCCCCCCCCCCCUCCCCCCCCCCCCCCCCCGUCCGCGGCCCGCGAGCUGCUAAGGCCGAGAGCCCGCUAAACAGAGCCGUGCCCGCGCUAGCAGCGCCCGCGCCAGGCCCGUUGGGCGGCCCGGCCCCGGCCUCGCUCGCGCCGGUCCUCCUCGCGGCACGUGUGUUAGUUUAUUGAGGAAUAAUAUAUAGAUUAUAGAUUAUAGAUGUUAGGAAUUUUAGAAUAGUUAUUUCUAAACUAUGUUGACUUUAAAUAUUAAUAUUAAAUAUUUAAAUUUGUUAAAAAGUUAAAUUUUAAAUAAUAGAUUUUUUUAUUACUAUAUAAAAAUAUUUUGAUAUUAAUAAAUAUUUAAAUUCAAUAUAUUUAAUAUGUUUAAGAAAUUUUUGAAUUCGUCUAUCAUAGACAUUAAUUUUGUAACAUUAAUUAAAAAAAAAUUUGAAUGUAGGUAAAAAAAAUUUAAAUUCACUAUAUUUAAUAUGUUAAACAAAUUAGAAUUUUUCUAAUUUAGACAUUAAUUUUGUAUCACUAUUUAAUUUUUUUUCAUGUUGGUAAAUAUUUAAAUUCAACAUAUUUAAUAUAUUUAAGAAAUUUUUGAAUACUUCUAGUCUAGAGAGUAAUUUUGUAUUGCUAAUUAAAAAAAAAAAAUUGAAUGUGGAUAAAUAUUUAAAUUCAACAUAUUUAUUAUGUUUUAAUUUGUUUUUUAUUUUUUUCAAUUUAUACAUUAGUUUUGUAUCACUAUGUAAAAAAAAAAUUUGAAUGUGAGUAAUUGCUUAGGAAUAUAGGGUAUAAUUUAAAAUUCAAAUUUUAAUACUAAAAAUUAAUCUUUUGAAAUAAUGAGAUCAUAUAUUAUAAUUAAAAAUAUAAGUUGAAAAUAAAUUUGAAGUUUAGAUUCUAAAAUGUAUAGUAGAAAUCUCCUAUAAAUCUAAAUAGUAUAGUACAAUUUAAACUUACUAAUGAACAAAUUUAGAGGGUAUAAUUUAAAUUUUAAACUUAAAACUUAUAAUAAAUCUCCAUCAUUGAGUUUUACNUUGGAUAGAUAUGGGAGAGCUACUUGUAUUUUGAGGAAAACUACGUAUUUACAUUUUGGUGGGUGAAAAAUGUAAUGCAAACAAAUGUUGUAACUAUUGAAUGAAUAUAAUAGUUAGACUAUCUCUCUUUAUACACUAGUAUAUUACUUGUGGUUCUUGCUCUUAGAUGUAUUGCACUUGUAUGUGCUGUGUUCGAUCAUGUAUGUUAUCUAAGCAUUUCUGGGCGCUUAUUUGUACAUGAUCUGGUUGUUUAGCCUUGGGCGGAAAGGCAAGGUGCUGUCCGUUCGGCGUCUGUUCGACGCGCCCGAACCGGACCAAAUUGGUAGCGGCAUCGGGGCGUGACAUGUAGAAACCUAAUUGAGGGUAUUUUAAACGCGUUGGAAUGCUCGGUUCGACAAUCCGACGAGUGUAUAAAAAGUUAUUGACAGAAACGUCGUUUUCCGUACAGAUAGCCGCAGCACGCGGAUUAGGGCUUCAAAAAUUUCAAGAAAUUCACCGAAGCAUCCUUGUAACCAUCUAAGGUGGGUGGUGCAUUCCAAGGACCUCGAAAAUCUCUUUAUGUCUAAGUGUCAUGUUUUGAGCAUAUGAGUAUAUUUGAGCAUUUUGCAUAAUAGGGUUAAAUUGUGAGCUUUUAUUUGCAUAAUGUAUAUUCAAUUGCAUGUUGAAUGUUUGAAAGAAUGUGAGAAUUAUAAAUCCUAUGUAUGCAUGAUUGUGAUAAGAAUCUAGAAGGGUUAGUAAAGAAAAGUGACACUAUGACAUAGAUUUAGCAAGUGGCAUUGACGAGUCUAGAACAUUUAGUAAACAAGUGUGACAUUUGGCAUGAGAACAAGAAUAUAGUACUUAGUAAACAAGUGUGACAUGAGGACAAGAACUUGACAGGGCAUAUGACACUAGUGAUAGCAAAGAUUGAAAAGAAAAGGAUGAUUGUGAUAUACGACAUUUUUAACCUUAGAGUUAAGAGUCAUUGAGCAUGAUCUUCCUUAAAGUUAAGGAAUGGAUUGAAUUUGGAAUCCUCAAAUGUAGGAUUUGAUCGUACUCACUUUAGUCCUUGCUCGAGGUUGUGGUAGCUCCCCCUCGGGCGAUGUGCUCCGGAGUCGACAUCACUGGGUUGUAGCGAGUAUCUCCCCAGAGGGCGGUCCCAUCGGGUUGUAGCGAGUAUCUCCCCGAAUAUUGGGAUUUUGAGUUGGUGAGUUUGUUGAGGGCGAAACCUACGGGUUAGCCAAGAGAUUGGGUAAAGCAACUAUGAUCUUGCAUGCAUCAUGAGCAUUAUAUUGAGCAUUGCAUUUUAUAUUGUUCAGGCAUAUUAGCUGCAUUUGUUAGAUGGUUACUUACUUUCCUUUAUUCUAUUAUGCCUGGUUAGACCUAGUGGGAUAGUCGGCGUGGUUGGUUGCCGAACCCACUGGGAACUUUGUUGUAGUUCUCACACCCCUACUUUUACAGAGCCGGGACCCAGCGAGCCGGCGGACGAUCGCGGUAAGGGCAUCGCGCCCUAGGUAGAGACCGCCCGAGUUGUUGUUUACCUUAGUUGCAUACCCUCUUAUUACAUCAUCUUUUGUACUUUGAUGAUUUAAUUGUUAAGGGAAAAAGAACUUGUAUGAGGUAAAAUAUUAUAUUUAAAUACAAGAAUGAUAUUUUGAGGUCCUGUGGUGUAACAGAAAAGAAAUGAUGCAAAGUUGUAAUAGAUUCUAUAAGUGUAGUUGUUUACUUUCACUCUUGGCUGUUGCUUGCCCUCGUGCAAGCCAUUGUGUAUGCUUCCGCUUAUGCAAUGUCUACACUCUAUCUGUACCUGUUGUUGGGCCUUGGGCGGACAGGGGAGGCUCUGUCCGCUCGGCGUCUGUAUCACGCUCUCGAACCGGCCAAAUAGGAUCGGGUUCGGGGCGUGACACCGACGCUCUCUCUCCCCGCCGCUCUCUCUCUCGCUUUAGCUCUCGCUCUCCCCGUCGCUCUCUCGCGCCUCUCUCUCUACUCCUCGCGCCGUUUCUCUCUUCACCCAAACGAUUUCACUCUCUUCUCUCCUCGGCGGCUCGGCGUUACCCUCGCCAAU
rnacentral:lncRNA from 1 species